CUGCAGCUCCUAAAGGAGAGGAAAAAAAUUGAAUACCUGUCAGGGGAAGGAGUUAAGUUGACAAUUAAGACAGCUCAGUGCUCUGUCGCUGCGGCUCAGCUGGAGCAGACAGGGACAGGGAUGCUGAAGCACAGCUCUCUCCUCCCUGUGACUGCAUCAGGCAGCCUCACCAGAACCUCCCAUCUGUGUGUCUGCAGGGCCACGGACAGCCUCAGCCCUCCCUCAAGGAUGGUGCUGGUCCAGCAAGGAGAGAGGAUAUGGGUCCACUGCAGCCGGAAAAGGGAAAAUGGAUGUGAUCCUCUGGAAGCCAUGCUCUAAGUGGCCAUCUCCACUGUCAUGUAAGCUUGGCAUGUCUGUGCCCCCCAGUGUUUGGGCUGUUAGGCCUGGUUGCUGAUGGCAGCCAGUUGCAGCUUGCGUGCUGGUCCACAUGUGUGUCAGGCCCAGCUAAGGACCAGCAGGUUGCUUCCACAUACAGCAAGCCAGGGCCCUGACUUGGGGCACAGCAUGGAGUUAGUGCUACCUGUGUGCUUUUGAUGAGUGAUGGGGACAUGCCAGUGGUGUGGGUGCCCUCUCACAAGUACAACGGUUUGAUAAUUGGAGACAUGUUAGUUAAAGCUGUAUGGGAUAUUUAUUUGCCCAACGUCAUGAGUUUUACCAGACUUCCUAACACAUCCUUUUAUGUACAGGAAGGUCACAUUUCUGUGAAAUGUUUCUCUUUUUUUGGCUCUGUCUAGAGUUCUAUAGUAAAAGAAAAGUGUGUUUAAACUGUGUGCUAUUUCUUCCAUCAAAACAAAGGGUUGCAGGUCCUUGUAGCACUAACCUGUCUUUUUACAAAUCAAAGUGAGUUUUCACCACACCAUGAGAAAUUGUGUCUUCCUUCUAAGAGCUGCUAAUUAGAGACCACUAGACAUGGCAAAGCCAAGCUCAGCCUCCUGCCUCCAGGCUCAGCUGCCUCCACAGAGCCUUGCUUCCAAAAUUUUUAUCAUGACAAGGGAUGUCUCAAAAGCCCCAUUCAAC